GUUUCCGUAGUGUAGUGGUUAUCACCUUUGCCCAACACGCAGAAGAUUCUUGGCUCGAAACAAAGUUGAAAUU